rnacentral:snRNA from 1 species
AUCGCUUCUCGGCCUUUUGGCUAAGAUCAAGUGUAGUAUCUGUUCUUAUCAGUUUAAAAUGAUUCAAAUUCCUGCACCAGACACUGUGAUGUAUCAAUUCUAAUGUACUGCUAUCCUUAUCCUAGGUAGGUAGUAAAGGCAUAGUAAUUAAAUAUCUUCUUCUUUGCAAUAAACCAUU